GAUGAACGCUGGCGGCGUGCCUAAUACAUGCAAGUCGAGCGAACAGGCGAGGAGCUUGCUCCUCUGACGUUAGCGGCGGACGGGUGAGUAACACGUGGAUAACCUACCUAUAAGACUGGGAUAACUUCGGGAAACCGGAGCUAAUACCGGAUAAUAUAUUGAACCGCAUGGUUCAAUAGUGAAAGACGGUUUUGCUGUCACUUAUAGAUGGAUCCGCGCCGCAUUAGCUAGUUGGUAAGGUAACGGCUUACCAAGGCAACGAUGCGUAGCCGACCCGAGAGGGGGAUCGGCCACACUGGAACUGAGACACGGUCCAGACUCCUACGGGAGGCAGCAGUAGGGAAUCUUCCGCAAUGGGCGAAAGCCUGACGGAGCAACGCCGCGUGAGUGAUGAAGGUCUUCGGAUCGUAAAACUCUGUUAUUAGGGAAGAACAAAUGUGUAAGUAACUAUGCACGUCUUGACGGUACCUAAUCAGAAAGCCACGGCUAACUACGUG
rnacentral:rRNA from 1 species